AUUUCUGUAGCUCAGUAGGUUAGAGCGUUGCCUUGACAUGGCAAAGGUCAUCAGUUCGAUUCUGAUCAGAAAUACCA
rnacentral:tRNA from 1 species